UCCCUUCUGCUGAAGACUGACCCAGCAAACAGUGGCUAAGAAGGACAGCUGAGCUGAAUCUUGUCCUGUUCCACCACAGUCCAGACCUAGCAGCAGGUGAGACUUAUGCUGUAACUGACAGGAGGUUUUUUUGUGGUUUCCAGAGCUUUUUGCUGUAUACUUUCCACCCCUGCUGAAACAUGGCCUGAUCAGACUUUCAGCUUGCUUCUGAAAUGGCUUCCUCCAUGAAAUUUCCCAUCAGCCCGAUUUUCACCUAUUGUUUUCCACUCUUUAUACCACUCUGACCUGCGUUACUAUUCCUCACUUUCUUUAUACAGCAAGUCCCUCAACUUGAAAUUACCUUUUUCUUUGAAAACUACCCUCUGCACCACAUGCAAGCUCAGUCUGCCUUCUGUUCAGCAGUUGUAUUCCUCAAACAAAGCAUUAAAGAAAAGCAGAAAUCAUGCCCUUUUGGCACCAAGUCCUUGUCACCACAUUGCAUCAGCAGUACAACAAAGAGAGGAAUUUUGUUGCACGUGGCGCUCCCCCAACACUCCUUCCAGUCAGUCCCACUAACAUAUCCUCAUCAUUUUAUAGUACAUUGGCACAAGCUCAGUCCAUGAGUUUCCAGCUGAGUUGAGUCCCGUGUGGCCCUCAAAGAGCAAGGCUCUUACAGGUAUAUAUAUAGCUAUUUAUGUGCUUUGGUUCAUUUGGAUUUAGUCCAUUAAGGUUCUUGUCGUGGUUCUCAGUUUAUCCAUUUUCCAUGGGAUGGAUAAUGGGAUGAUUUGGCAAAGAAGUGUAAAUCCAGUGAAAUACUGAGGAGAGGAAACCCCCUGGGAGGGAGUCUGUCUGGAAGCUGAUGGGGCCUCACAGUGGUGGUCAGUCAGGAGGCUCAGUGUAGGCAAGGUGAGAUAUGUCUGUGCCCAUAGAAACCACCUAGUCUUGGUGCCCAAAACCAGCCAUAUUUUGGGGGUCAAUAGCAUCAUGUGGAAACCAGAAGGGAACAGCAGAAGGCAAGGAGAUGGCAGGGAGCAGGAAAGGGUAAUACUGUGAAAGUCUGGGUCCACCUUGGGCUGGUGCUGUACCCCAAAACCAUGCUCCUAGAAGCAAACAAGCCUCAGAGAGUGAGCAAGUGACCUACUUUAGCAUCUUCCUUCUUUCACUCCAAUUAAAUAGGGCUGAAUACUUUCUGCCACCUCCAGACACUGUGGGGUUACAAAGCUGUCCAGAAAGUCAACUCCCAUUGCAUAUAUGGAAACUCCACCUUUCUCCAUGGGUCAUGCUUUGCCAAGACCUCUUUCGCCCUUUCUAAUGACUGCAAUAAUUUUGAACACUGCAACAUUGUUGCCAGCAACACUUUGGAAGCCUUAUGUGAGUCCUGUGAAAAGCUGUUUCAUCAAGGUCGUGUCAUUAUCCAUGUGUUUUUUGCUAACAUUUUCCUGGUUUUGUGUGUUUCUGUUGCAACUUGAGGACUCGAUGCUCAUUUUAAUAUAAGAGAGUUCAGAUUUCUCAGAUACUACAAGAGGAAGAAGUACUUGUGGGGCUAAUUUGUACAUGAGCAUCCUGGCACACUCAGGGUCACUGUGACACCCCACUGGGGAUAGCAUUACCCUGGUAUGUCUGCUGUGGCUCAGUAUGAAAUCCUCCGCAUGCU
ensembl:lncRNA